rnacentral:sRNA from 1 species
UGAACGUGUAACACUGGUCGAAAGAAGACGAACAUAAACUCGUCUCCGGUAACCAAAAAUGGUU